rnacentral:misc_RNA from 1 species
GAUGAAGAACGCAGUGAAAUGCGAUAAGUAAUGUGAAUUGCAGAAUUCAGUGAAUCAUCGAAUCUUUGAACGCACAUUGCGCCCCUUGGUAUUCCGAGGGGCAUGCCUGUUCGAGCGUCAUUAUCACCCCUCAAGCUUUGCUUGGUGUUGGGGCCUGCUGUAAUAGGCAGCCCUUAAAAUCAGUGGCGGUGCUUCAAGGCUCUAAGCGUAGUAAUUCUCCUCGCUAUAGUGUCUAGUGGUUGCCAGCCAGAACCCCCCAAUUUUCAUGAUUGACCUCGGAUCAGGUAGGGAUACCCGCUGAACUUAAGCAUAUCAAUAAGCGGAGGA